rnacentral:piRNA from 1 species
AGCUUUUUAAAAACUCGCACUGG